rnacentral:rRNA from 1 species
CCCUUAGAUGUUCUGGGCUGCACACGUGCUACACUGGCAGGUUCAGCGAGCUUCAUGCCCUGAUCUGAAAGGAAUGGAAAAUCUUUUCAAAACCUGCCGUGCUUGGGAUAGAUGUUUGCAAUUAUUCAUCUUCAACGAGGAUUGCCUUGUAAGCGCACGUCAUCAGCGUGCAUUGAAUACGACCCUGUAUUCUGUACACACCGCCCGUCGCUCCUACCGAUUGAAGUUUUCGGUGAGUUGACAGGAGGAUUUUUUUGAAACUGGUUCGCCAGUGGAUUUUAGAUCCAAAUGCCAACGAAUCGAUGGCUUUAGAGGAAGGAGAAGUCGUAACA